CGCCGGAAAUCUUACCGGGACCGACAGCAAUAUGAAGGCCAGGCUGAAGACUUUGCCGGAUUAGCUGAGAGGUGGUGCAUGGCCGUCGUCAGUUCGUACUGUGAAGCAUCCUGUUAAGUCAGGCAACGAGCGAGACCCACGCCCACAGUUGCCAGCGUACUCUCCGGAGUGACGGGUACACUGUGGGGACCGCCGCUGCUAAAGCGGAGGAAGGAAUGGGCAACGGUAGGUCAGUAUGCCCCGAAUAUCCCGGGCUACACGCGAGCUACAAUGGUUGGUACAAUGGGUAUCUACCCCGAAAGGGGAUGGAAAUCUCCUAAAGCCAAUCUUAGUUCGGAUUGAGGGCUGCAACUCGCCCUCAUGAAGCUGGAAUCCGUAGUAAUCGCGUUUCAACAGAACGCGGUGAAUACGUCCCUGCUCCUUGCACACACCGCCCGUCAAACCACCCGAGUAGGGUAGAAUGAGAGCGCUYCAUGGAGGCGAUU
rnacentral:rRNA from 1 species